rnacentral:rRNA from 1 species
UACGUAGGGUGCGAGCGUUAAUCGGAAUUACUGGGCGUAAAGCGUGCGCAGGCGGUUUUGUAAGCCAGAUGUGAAAUCCCCGGGCUUAACCUGGGAAUGGCAUUUGGGACUGCAAGGCUGGAGUGCGGCAGAGGAGACUGGAAUUCCCGGUGUAGCAGUGAAAUGUGUAGAGAUCGGGAGGAACACCGGUGGCGAAGGCGGGUCUCUGGGCAAUUCCUGACGCUGAGGCGCGAAAGCGUGGGGAGCAAACGGG